CCUACGGGGCGCAGCAGUAGGGAAUAUUGCUCAAUGGGGGAAACCCUGAAGCAGCAACGCCGCGUGGAGGAUGAAGGUUUUCGGAUUGUAAACUCCUUUUGUUAGAGAAGAUAAUGACGGUAUCUAACGAAUAAGCACCGGCUAACUCCGUGCCAGCAGCCGCGGUAAUACGGCGGGUGCAAGCGUUACUCGGAAUCACUGGGCGUAAAGAGCGCGUAGGCGGGAUAGCAAGUCAGAUGUGAAAUCCUAUGGCUUAACCAUAGAACUGCAUUUGAAACUGUUAUUCUAGAGUAUGGGAGAGGUAGGUGGAAUGCGUGGUGUAGGGGUAAAAUGCGUAGAGAUCAAGAGGAAUACUCAUUGCGAAGGCGACCUGCUAGAACAUAACUGACGCUGAUGCGCGAAAGCGUGGGGAGCAAACAGGAUUAGAUACCCUUGUAGUC
rnacentral:rRNA from 1 species